AAGGAUUUAGUUAAAGUUAUAACAUUAGUUUGUCAAUCUAAAAUUAUUAUAAAAUAUAAAAUAUUCCUUA
rnacentral:tRNA from 1 species